UAACGACUCUCGGCAACGGAUAUCUCGGCUCUCGCAUCGAUGAAGAACGUAGCGAAAUGCGAUACUUGGUGUGAAUUGCAGAAUCCCGUGAACCAUCGAGUCUUUGAACGCAAGUUGCGCCCGAAGCCUCACGGCCGAGGGCACGCCUGCCUGGGCGUCACGCA
rnacentral:rRNA from 1 species